UCAUGAUCUUUUUCUAUAUUCAGAUUUGUAGAUCGCGUGGACAGUGUUAAAAAAAAAAGGCGGCCCACAAAAUCCGGCUAGAGCCGGAGGGAUUCACUAGUGUUGAUUUGUUGUACAUGUUACUUACAACUUAUAUGUACUAGAUUUUUCCCAAACCUCAGCGACAAAAACAAAAUAAAAAAUGAUGACCUUCCAAUUAAAAAAAAAAUUCAAGGGGAAAAAAUGCAGGCGCACAUUAAUUCACUCCUGUACUGCAGCCCCAGUUUGUUUAUGGUGAUCACCUCGGAUCACUGGCUCACUUGGACCUUUCCAUUUUCCGCCAAAAUAUGGACCAAGCAACAAGUCAAUAUAACCAGAGAUAACAGGAUGGACCCCCUGUGGCAGCUGCUGUAUCGAAAAGGAGGUGUUUUAAAGAGUAUUAAAAAAAAUUCUUUCUGAUUAAAAUUUAGGUAUUGAAUGGAUAGCUCCAGCUAACACCAAAAAAAAGUCAAAAUAAAAAUGGUAAGC